GACGAACGCUGGCGGCGUGCCUAAUACAUGCAAGUAGAACGCUGAAGGAGGAGCUUGCUUCUCUGGAUGAGUUGCGAACGGGUGAGUAACGCGUAGGUAACCUGCCUGGUAGUGGGGGAUAACUAUUGGAAACGAUAGCUAAUACCGCAUAAUAGCAGUUGUUGCAUGAUAACUGUUUGAAAGGUGCAAUUGCACCGCUACCAGAUGGACCUGCGUUGUAUUAGCUAGUUGGUGGGGUAACGGCUCACCAAGGCGACGAUACAUAGCCGACCUGAGAGGGUGAUCGGCCACACUGGGACUGAGACACGGCCCAGACUCCUACGGGAGGCAGCAGUAGGGAAUCUUCGGCAAUGGACGAAAGUCUGACCGAGCAACGCCGCGUGAGUGAAGAAGGUUUUCGGAUCGUAAAGCUCUGUUGUAAGAGAAGAACGAGUGUGAGAGUGGAAAGUUCACACUGUGACGGUAUCUUACCAGAAAGGGACGGCUAACUACGUG
rnacentral:rRNA from 1 species